UACAGAGGGGGCAAGCGUUGUUCGGAAUUACUGGGCGUAAAGGGCGCGUAGGCGGCCUGUUAAGUCGAACGUGAAAUCCCCGGGCUCAACCCGGGAACUGCGUCCGAUACUGGCAGGCUUGAAUUCGGGAGAGGGAUGCGGAAUUCCAGGUGUAGCGGUGAAAUGCGUAGAUAUCUGGAGGAACACCGGUGGCGAAGGCGGCAUCCUGGACCGAGAUUGACGCUGAGCGCGAAAGCCAGGGGAGCAAACGGGG
rnacentral:rRNA from 1 species